UCAAGCCUACGGGGGGCAGCAGUAGGGAAUUUUCGUCAAUGGGCGCAAGCCUGAACGAGCAAUGCCGCGUGAACGAGGAAGGUCUUCGGAUCGUAAAGUUCUGUUGAAGGGGAAAAAGAGCGGAGAGAGGAAAUGGUCUCCGAUUGAUAUUACCCUUCGAGGAAGUCACGGCUAACUACGUGCCAGCAGCCGCGGUAAUACGUAGGUGGCGAGCGUUAUCCGGAAUGAUUGGGCGUAAAGGGUGCGCAGGCGGCGUGGCAAGUCUGAGGUGAAAGGGACGGGCUCAA
rnacentral:rRNA from 1 species